GAUGAGUAGGGCGGGACACGUGGUAUCCUGUCUGAAUAUGGGGGGACCAUCCUCCAAGGCUAAAUACUCCUGACUGACCGAUAGUGAACCAGUACCGUGAGGGAAAGGCGAAAAGAACCCCGGCGAGGGGAGUGAAAAAGAACCUGAAACCGUGUACGUACAAGCAGUGGGAGCACGCUUAGGCGUGUGACUGCGUACCUUUUGUAUAAUGGGUCAGCGACUUAUAUUCUGUAGCAAGGUUAACCGAAUAGGGGAGCCGAAGGGAAACCGAGUCUUAACUGGGCGUUAAGUUGCAGGGUAUAGACCCGAAACCCGGUGAUCUAGCCAUGGGCAGGUUGAAGGUUGGGUAACACUAACUGGAGGACCGAACCGACUAAUGUUGAAAAAUUAGCGGAUGACUUGUGGCUGGGGGUGAAAGGCCAAUCAAACCGGGAGAUAGCUGGUUCUCCCCGAAAGCUAUUUAGGUAGCGCCUCGUGAAUUCAUCUCCGGGGGUAGAGCACUGUUUCGGCAAGGGGGUCAUCCCGACUUACCAACCCGAUGCAAACUGCGAAUACCGGAGAAUGUUAUCACGGGAGACACACGGCGGGUGCUAACGUCCGUCGUGAAGAGGGAAACAACCCAGACCGCCAGCUAAGGUCCCAAAGUCAUGGUUAAGUGGGAAACGAUGUGGGAAGGCCCAGACAGCCAGGAUGUUGGCUUAGAAGCAGCCAUCAUUUAAAGAAAGCGUAAUAGCUCACUGGUCGAGUCGGCCUGCGCGGAAGAUGUAACGGGGCUAAACCAUGCACCGAAGCUGCGGCAGCGACGCUGAUGCGUUGUUGGGUAGGGGAGCGUUCUGUAAGCCUGCGAAGGUGUGCUGUGAGGCAUGCUGGAGGUAUCAGAAGUGCGAAUGCUGACAUAAGUAACGAUAAAGCGGGUGAAAAGCCCGCUCGCCGGAAGACCAAGGGUUCCUGUCCAACGUUAAUCGGGGCAGGGUGAGUCGACCCCUAAGGCGAGGCCGAAAGGCGUAGUCGAUGGGAAACAGGUUAAUAUUCCUGUACUUGGU
rnacentral:rRNA from 1 species